UUAGUGGCGCACGGGUGCGUAACGCGUGGGAAUCUGCCCUUGGGUUCGGAAUAACAGUUGGAAACGACUGCUAAUACCGGACGAUGUCGUAAGUCCAAAGAUUUAUCGCCCAAGGAUGAGCCCGCGUAGGAUUAGCUAGUUGGUGAGGUAAAGGCUUACCAAGGCGACGAUCCUUAGCUGGUCUGAGAGGAUGAUCAGCCACACUGGGACUGAGACACGGCCCAGACUCCUACGGGAGGCAGCAGUAGGGAAUAUUGGACAAUGGGCGAAAGCCUGAUCCAGCAAUGCCGCGUGAGUGAUGAAGGCCUUAGGGUUGUAAAGCUCUUUUACCCGAGAAGACAAUGACAGUACCGGGAGAAUAAGCCCCGGCUAACUCCGUGCCAGCAGCCGCGGUAAU
rnacentral:rRNA from 1 species